rnacentral:rRNA from 1 species
UACGUAGGGUGCAAGCGUUGUCCGGAAUUAUUGGGCGUAAAGAGCUCGUAGGCGGUUUGUCGCGUCGGCUGUGAAAACUCGGGGCUCAACCCCGAGCCUGCAGUCGAUACGGGCAGACUAGAGUGCUGUAGGGGAGACUGGAAUUCCUGGUGUAGCGGUGAAAUGCGCAGAUAUCAGGAGGAACACCGGUGGCGAAGGCGGGUCUCUGGGCAGUAAUGACGCUGAGGAGCGAAAGCGUGGGGAGCGAACAGG